rnacentral:rRNA from 1 species
CCUGGUGAGAAUUUUCAUAUUAGGUCUAACCUGCUCAAUGAAUUAUUAAAUAGCCGCAGUAUUUUGACUGUGCGAAGGUAGCAUAAUCAUUUGUCUUUUAAUUGAAGGCUUGUAUGAAUGGUUGGAUGAAGGAAUUGCUUUCUUUAUAUUAUGUUUAUGAAUUUAAUUUUUAGGUUAAAAAGCUUAAAUUUUUAAAUGGGACGAGAAGACCCUAUAGAAUUUUAUUUGAAGUUAGAUUUAUUAAUAAUUGGUUAAAUAUUUUAUAUUUUUUAAUUCCAAAUUUUGUUGGGGUGACAGUAAGAUUAAUUUAACUCUUAUAAUUUAUGUUUUAUUUAUUUAUAUACAAAAGAUCCUAUUUUAUGGAUAUUUAGAUUAAAUUACCUUAGGGAUAACAGCGUUAUUUUUCUGGAGAGUUCUUAUCGAUAGAGGAGUUUGCGACCUCGAUGUUGGAUUAAAAUUAGAUUUAAGUGCAGUAGCUUAAUUUCUAGGUCUGUUCGACCUUUAAAAUUUUACA